rnacentral:rRNA from 1 species
UACGGAGGGUGCGAGCGUUGUCCGGAAUCACUGGGCGUAAAGGGCGCGUAGGCGGCUGGGGUAGUCCGUGGUGAAAGCUCGAGGCUCAACUUCGAGUCGGCCAUGGAUACUCCUCGGCUUGAGCACUGUAGAGGCAGGUGGAAUUCCGGGUGUAGCGGUGGAAUGCGUAGAGAUCCGGAAGAACACCGGUGGCGAAGGCGGCCUGCUGGGCAGUAGCUGACACUGAGGCGCGACAGCGUGGGGAGCAAACAGG